rnacentral:rRNA from 1 species
CACGUAGGUAAUCUACCUUCGGGUGGGGAAUAACCCAGGAAAACUUGGGCUAACACCGCAUAAUGCAGCGGCACCACAUGGUGACAGUUGUUAAAGCGGGGGAUUUUCGGACCUCGCGCCUGAAGAGGAGCCUGCGGAGAUUAGCUAGUUGGUAAGGUAACGGUUACCAAGGCGACGAUCUGUAGCCGGCCUGAGAGGGCGGUCGGCCACACUGACACUGACAUACGGGUCAGACUCCUACGGGAGGCAGCAGUCGGGAAUUUUGGGCAAUGGGCGAAAGCCUGACCCAGCAAGCCGCGUGAAGGAUGAAAUCCCUCGGGAUGUAAACUUCGCAAGAAUGGGAAG